UAAGGAAUAUUGGUCAAUGGACGAAAGUCUGAACCAGCCAUGCCGCGUGAAGGAUGAAGGCCCUCUGGGUUGUAAACUUCUUUUAUAGGGGACGAAAAUGGGGAAUUCUUUCUCAACUGACGGUACCCUAGGAAUAAGCACCGGCUAACUCCGUGCCAGCAGCCGCGGUAAUACGGAGGGUGCAAGCGUUAUCCGGAUUUACUGGGUUUAAAGGGUGCGUAGGUGGGCAGGUAAGUCAGUGGUGAAAUCUCCGGGCUUAACCCGGAAACUGCCAUUGAUACUAUUUGUCUUGAAUAUUCUGGAGGUAAGCGGAAUAUGUCAUGUAGCGGUGAAAUGCUUAGAUAUGACAUAGAACACCCAUUGCGAAGGCAGCUUACUACGGGAUUAUUGACACUGAGGCACGAAAGCGUGGGGAUCAAACAGGAUUAGAUACCCCCGUAGUCC
rnacentral:rRNA from 1 species